CUGAUGGAGGCCCUGCCUGGUGGAGGAUUCCUGUUGUUGGACCAUGAAUCUGUCUGAAGAGAGCUGGUGGAGGAGCUGAGAAGCUGUAAGACGAUUAGGAAUUUACCAACAAGGAUUCCUCACGUUGGGGCCAGAUUUGAGCUGUUUGUUCCAGACCAGGACUCUGGCUGAGGAGCGCUGAUAGAGGAGCCAAGACUCUGGAGGACGACAUCACUCUAUCAACAAGGAUCCUCGUUAGUUUGCAUAAAGUAAACGGAUCGCCUUGUUGUAACGCAGGAUUAGUUUGUCCAGUAGUUGAGUUAAGGCAUACUACUGUUGUUGGUUACCAGACAAACUACAGCUGCUAUUUUGUUACGCGUAAUUAAAGCCCACCUACUCUUGUGUUUGUUACCUUACAUUAAAGCCCACCUACUCCUGUGUUUGUUACCUUACAUUAGAGCCCACCUACUCCUGUG